GUGGGGAAUAUUGGACAAUGGGCGAAAGCCUGAUCCAGCCAUGCCGCGUGUGUGAAGAAGGUCUUCGGAUUGUAAAGCACUUUAAGUUGGGAGGAAGGGUAGUAACCUAAUACGUUGCUACUUUGACGUUACCGACAGAAUAAGCACCGGCUAACUUCGUGCCAGCAGCCGCGGUAAUACGAAGGGUGCAAGCGUUAAUCGGAAUUACUGGGCGUAAAGCGCGCGUAGGUGGUUCAGUAAGUUGGAAGUGAAAUCCCCGGGCUCAACCUGGGAACUGCUUUCAAAACUGCUGAGCUAGAGUACGGUAGAGGGUAGUGGAAUUUCCUGUGUAGCGGUGAAAUGCGUAGAUAUAGGAAGGAACACCAGUGGCGAAGGCGACUACCUGGACUGAUACUGACACUGAGGUGCGAAAGCGUGGGGAGCAAACAGGAUUAGAAACCCCGGUAGUCC
rnacentral:rRNA from 1 species